rnacentral:rRNA from 1 species
GUGGGGAAUAUUGCACAAUGGGGGAAACCCUGAUGCAGCAACGCCGCGUGAGUGAAGAAGUAUUUCGGUAUGUAAAGCUCUAUCAGCAGGGAAGAAGAAAGACGGUACCUGACUAAGAAGCACCGGCUAAAUACGUGCCAGCAGCCGCGGUAAUACGUAUGGUGCAAGCGUUAUCCGGAUUUACUGGGUGUAAAGGGAGCGCAGGCGGCCGUGCAAGCCAGAGGUGAAAACCCGGGGCUCAACCCCGCGGAUUGCCUUUGGAACUGUAUGGCUUGAGUACUGGAGGGGCAGGCGGAAUUCCUGGUGUAGCGGUGAAAUGCGUAGAUAUCAGGAGGAACACCGGUGGCGAAGGCGGCCUGCUGGACAGAAACUGACGCUGAGGCUCGAAAGCGUGGGGAGCAAACAGGAUUAGAAACCCUAGUAGUCC